AUUGAACGCUGGCGGCAGGCUUAACACAUGCAAGUCGAGCGGAGAUGAGGUGCUUGCACCUUAUCUUAGCGGCGGACGGGUGAGUAAUGCUUAGGAAUCUGCCUAUUAGUGGGGGACAACAUUCCGAAAGGAAUGCUAAUACCGCAUACGUCCUACGGGAGAAAGCAGGGGAUCUUCGGACCUUGCGCUAAUAGAUGAGCCUAAGUCGGAUUAGCUAGUUGGUGGGGUAAAGGCCUACCAAGGCGACGAUCUGUAGCGGGUCUGAGAGGAUGAUCCGCGACACUGGGACUGAGGCACGGCCCAGACUCAUACGGGAGGCAGCAGUGGGGAAUAUUGGACAAUGGGGGGAACCCUGAUCCAGCCAUGCCGCGUGUGUGAAGAAGGCCUUAUGGUUGUAAAGCACUUUAAGCGAGGAGGAGGCUACUGAGACUAAUACUCUUGGAUAGUGGACGUUACUCGCAGAAUAAGCACCGGCUAACUCUGUGCCAGCCGCCGCCGUAAAAC
rnacentral:rRNA from 1 species